rnacentral:rRNA from 1 species
AGUGAACGCUGGCGGUAGGCCUAACACAUGCAAGUCGAACGGCAGCACAGUAAGAGCUUGCUCUUACGGGUGGCGAGUGGCGGACGGGUGAGGAAUACAUCGGAAUCUACUUUUUCGUGGGGAUAACGUAGGGAAACUUACGCUAAUACCGCAUACGACCUACGGGUGAAAGCCGGGGGUCUUCGGACCUUUCGCGGUUGAAUGAGCCGAUGUCGGAUUAGCUAGUUGGCGGGGUAAAGGCCCACCAAGGCGACGAUCCGUAGCUGGUCUGAGAGGAUGAUCAGCCACACUGGAACUGAGACACGGUCCAGACUCCUACGGGAGGCAGCAGUGGGGAAUAUUGGACAAUGGGCGCAAGCCUGAUCCAGCCAUACCGCGUGGGUGAAGAAGGCCUUCGGGUUGUAAAGCCCUUUUGUUGGGAAAGAAAAGCAGCAGGUUAAUACCCCGCUGUUCCGACGGUACCCAAAGAAUAAGCACCGGCUAACUUCGUG